CCAUAGACAUAGGAUGAACUUGACUAGUGCUGAAGAUGCUCUUUGGUGCCUCCAUUUUGUAUGGUAUGGGGCCUGAAACCUUCCAUCUGAGCCAUGGUGAUGAGAACAGUGAAGACCAGGACUGAGGAGGAGUGGUCUGAGGGGGGAGGCCAGGAUGAUGAACCAAAACUACAAUUGUCCCCCAUCCUUACCUCCUCCCCUACCCAAUUAUUGGAAGAGCAAUAGGUUAGAAUUUUAACAACGAGGGAAAACUGAUGAAGACUUUUGCAAAGGAAAGUAAGCACUUCUGAUCAGUUAUCAGUUCUUUGACCAUCCCAAUAACAUAUGUGUUUUAAUCAGUAGGUCUUAAAAACAGAACAUUUGUCAACAAAAUGAAGAGAAGAGAUUAGCAGAUAAUUGAGGGGCAAAAUACAAAUGAAGUGUUUUCAAUGGGGAAGAAGGGACUUUGAAAGACUUUUAAUGAUGCACAUUGAUUUAUACAUUCCCAGAUUCAAUAGGCAGCAUAAAUGCCAUUCAUGUUGAUGGUGCAAAUGCCUUGAUGCUAUCAGUAAGGAAGUUAAUAAGCUGAGCAGCUGAACUACUAUUCAAAAUAGUGAAGCUUAAGUCUUGCUAAGGCAUUUUCUAUCCCCACCUGGUAUAACCUACAUGUCCUAUUAUACUUAGCAAUACACCUGCUGGCUUUUGUGGGCCUUCAGGAAAUGCCUUUACUUCCUGAAGAAUGCAACAAACUACAACACAAACACCACCAUGGCCAGCUGACACUAGACUGUAAACUGUAGUUACCUCUCUAAAAGGAUUAGGUGCUUGGGUGAUUAGUAUUUGUAGAUUGUGCAAUGGCCAAGUUCACAAAGGAAGUUCUUACAUUAAAAAAAAAAAAAUAUAUAUAUAUAUAUAUGCUAAUCCACAUAGUAUGGAUUCUAUAUAUGUCUUAUGAAUCCAUGUAUAUGUGUAUGUAUGCAUUUAUAAUUUUGGUGAGGGGCGUUACUUGUUUUCUCAUAAAGCUCCCUAGCGUGACAAAAUUAAACCUCACUGGAAUGGACUAUUUUUAUCAGUAAACAAAAACAAAAACUGCUUUUCACCAGACAAAGCUUCGGUCCCUCUGUCAAGCAACAGUGAUUUACCGAGCUAACAUGUGAGCAAAUGGGAAAUACUAUAUUUCCAGACUUGGGUAAUGAAUAACCUCUGAGGGCUUGAACUUUUCUCCGUUCCCACAGACUGCAUCCACAGAGCGGUGCUCUUGCCCUGAAAGGAAGGAUUUACUCCGGUUUGGAAGGAAGUGGAAUAAAUAGAACUGGAAGUGGCAAGGUCACCUUUAAUAUCAUAUGAACUGCCUCUUAACAAGCUUCACAAUUGCUUUGUUUCUUCCUCCCUGGGUUCUAUAAACAGGCAAAGUCAAAGCAAACUCCUAGAGCACACAGUGCGUGGAGGAAGCUCCCAGAGUGGUGAGGAAGGGGAGGCUGCAGGCUCCAUGGGGCCCAUCCCGCACGCCAGGGUUACAAUUGUGUUAUGGUGUGGUGGCCAGAAGGGAAAACUGCUUGUUUUUAAAGGAAGGAGUUAUAUUGUCCUAAAUUCCUGUGUAUAAAAUAUAGGACAAACAAGUUAGAGUGGGCAUAUUGGAGUAUGUGGAAUAUAUGGCAUAUUUGCCUUUCACUGGUCUUUUCCCUAUUAACUUUAAUUAUCACAUGGUGAGUGCAUAAAUACAAAAAUGUUAUUUUAAAAACGCUCUUCUCUAGGACCCUGUUCAGUUGGUAUUCCAAACACCAUGCAAGCUCUUUACUGGCAUUCUGCUUCAUAGAGUUUUCUUCUUUUCCAAGGUCCUUCAGCUACAUGCAGUUGGGCUUCCCUCUUUCUCUGUAGUUUUUCAUUUCUUUUUAAUGUCUCCUUACCGAGGAGAGGAAAGAAUAUCUAGUAUGGAAAAGGCACUAACCAUGUUGGGAUGCCAGAGGGUUGGGCAACAGACAGGACUGGAAUUUUGGUGUCCUGACUCUUAGUAAUUCUUAGGUAGUCCAAUGUGUAAGUCAUCUUGGAAGACAAUGUGAAUGAGUAGUACUGUCAUUAUCAAAGCAAAACAAUAAUUCAGAUUGGGCUUUGAGUCUAAGGUAACUUGGCAUGGCUUAAAUACAGAUUGUCAACGAAAGCAUGAACCAAACAAAACUGAGUUGGUACUUUGUAAAUUGUUACUUACCCCCUGUAUGGACUCCCCACAUUUGGCGAAGGUGUGUAGGAAAAUCUCCCUUAUAUUUCGAAAGUGCAGUAAAGCUAUGGAGUGGUGUAACUUCAAAAAAGUGUGAUUAAAAGAAUAUAAGAAAGAUACAAUAAGAGUCUCUAAGGGGUAGAAAGAGGGCAGUCUCUGUCUAAUCUGAAUUUUGGCCAUUUCUUUACACUUUCAAGAUAAUAUGAGUUCUUGGCAUUACAGAUAACGGGUCAGAGCUGAGCUGUUGUGGAAACUGCUAGAUGGAGCUAGAGCUGUUAUGUGGCCAAAUAUUUUGAUCUGUGGAUAACAUGCAAUAUUGAGAGAUUCUGAUCUCUGUUAAGUGUCCUAAAUUGUCUACAGAGCAGAGCAAACAUUGAGGCAUCAGCCUAGACAUUCUAACAAAUGUGCUCUACUAAAAUGCUAUGCUUGAAUGGACUUGACCAGGCUAAUCAACCUCUAAAGUGCAUCCUGCAUUAUAAUAGCUAUAAGACAAUCCCCGCUCNNNNNNNNNNNNNNNNNNNNNNNNNNNNNNNNNNNNNNNNNNNNNNNNNNNNNNNNNNNNNNNNNNNNNNNNNNNNNNNNNNNNNNNNNNNNNNNNNNNNNNNNNNNNNNNNNNNNNNNNNNNNNNNNNNNNNNNNNNNNNNNACCCCCCACCGCGUGCUUGUAAGAGGGGUGGGGUGGGGAAAGGGCGAGCUCUUCCUUUGUCCUCUGACCACCUAGAACAGCAUGGCUAAUUGCUUUGUCUAUCAUUAAGAAUCUUCAGUAUAUAGUGAGGUUGGAUGUGUGCACAUACAUACAUGCAUGCUCACAUUUACCUCAUAUCUUCACGUUUUUCACCUUUUCUAAAAUAUAGCAGCAAUGAAUCCAGACUGAAACUUGCCACACCUUUCAAUCCAACAACUCUUUUCCCUGAGGACAGUAGGGCAUCAUCCAAAUGUAGCAGCUGGGGAGUUGUGCUGUUAUUUCUUUUCAGAUGACAAAAUAGCAACACGCUUUAAUGAUGAUGAAACCCAGUUCUAUUUUUUUCUUUUCCCUUGUAGUUCUUUUCGUAGCAGGAAUCUGACACCGUUUACUCUUUGGGCAGUAAGUCCCCCAAGUCUGAACUAUGUGAUUGCAUGAGCCCUGCACCUUAUUCAUUAAGACUGCCCCCUUUGAAACGGAAUUGAUGAGUUUUCAGUGACCAUUCGUAGCAUUUGAGAUCCAUAGGCAUCAGGGCUUGAUGCAUGGCCCUCAUCUCCGUGAGCUUCUGUGCAAUGAUUCUCAUCUGUCUUGGUUAGAAAGUGAAUUAAUCUUGACCUUGGCCUCUGGGGUGUGGUUCUCUGUCCUCUCACACAUCUUCAACUCACUUUUUUAUCAGAGGCACUUCUUGUUUCAGGCCCAGGCUCCCCCCAUUU
rnacentral:lncRNA from 1 species